AAACGGCCGCGUUAGCGUGAGCGUGCUAAGGUAGCGUAAUAAAUAGCCCCUUAAUUGGGGGCCAGUGAAUGGCAAGACUAGGAACACUUGUACCUUUUAUAGCUAAAAAACUUUUCAUCUAAGUGAAAAGACUUAGAUAACUAGGGUAGACGAAAAGACCCCGCGGAACUUUACCUUAUCCAACUCAACGCCCAGCAAGCACAAUAAAUAAAAGGUUUGAUUGGGGCAAUCUUGGAACCAACAAACUUCCAACUUUAUUAUAAAACCAUAUAAAAUUUAAUAAAAAUAAAAAAGAAGUUACCCCGGGGAUAACAGCGUAAUCCAACUUAAGAGUACACAUCGAAAGUUGGGUUUGCGACCUCGAUGUUGGCUUAAG
rnacentral:rRNA from 1 species